rnacentral:rRNA from 1 species
AACGCUGGCGGCGUGCCUAAUACAUGCAAGUCGAACGGUCUUUCUAUGGAAGCUUGCUUCCACUGAGAAGAUAGUGGCGAACGGGUGAGUAACACGUGGGUAACCUGCCCAUAAGAGGGGGAUAACAUCCGGAAACGGGUGCUAAUACCGCAUAGUUUUCUUGAUCGCAUGAUUGAGAAAGGAAAGACGGCCUUUGUGCUGUCGCUUAUGGAUGGACCCGCGGCGUAUUAGUUAGUUGGUGAGGUAACGGCUCACCAAGACGAUGAUACGUAGCCGACCUGAGAGGGUGAUCGGCCACAUUGGGACUGAGACACGGCCCAAACUCCUACGGGAGGCAGCAGUAGGGAAUCUUCCGCAAUGGACGAAAGUCUGGCGGAGCAACGCCGCGUGAGUGAAGAAAGGUUUUCGGAUCGUAAAACUCUGUUGUCAGAGAAGAACAAGUUGGAGAGUAACUGCUCCAGCCUUGACGGUAUCUGACCAGAAAGCCACGGCUAACUACGUGCCAGCCGCGGC